rnacentral:rRNA from 1 species
AGUGAACGCUGGCGGCAGGCCUAACACAUGCAAGUCGAGCGGCAGCGGGUCCCCGCGAGGGGAUGCCGGCGAGCGGCGGACGGGUGAGGAACACAUCGGAAUCUGCCUGGUUGUGGGGGAUAACGUAGGGAAACUUACGCUAAUACCGCAUGCGACCCUGAGUCGACGGACUGGGGGUGAAAGUGAGGGACCUUCGGGCCUCACGCGACCAGAUGAGCCGAUGUCGGAUUAGCUAGUUGGCGGGGUAACGGCCCGCCAAGGCGACGAUCCGUAGCUGGUCUGAGAGGAUGAUCAGCCACACUGGGACUGAGACACGGCCCAGACUCCUACGGGAGGCAGCAGUGGGGAAUCUUGGACAAUGGGCGCAA